GUAGCGGCGAGUGAGCGGCAAAAGCUCAAAUUUGAAAUCUGGCACCUUCGGUGUCCGAGUUGUAAUUUGAAGAUUGUAACCUUGGGGUUGGCUCUUGUCUAUGUUUCUUGGAACAGGACGUCACAGAGGGUGAGAAUCCCGUGCGAUGAGAUGCCCAAUCCUAUGUAAGGUGCUUUCGAAGAGUCGAGUUGUUUGGGAAUGCAGCUCUAAGUGGGUGGUAAAUUCCAUCUAAAGCUAAAUAUUGGCGAGAGACCGAUAGCGAACAAGUACAGUGAUGGAAAGAUGAAAAGAACUUUGAAAAGAGAGUGAAAAAGUACGUGAAAUUGUUGAAAGGGAAGGGUUUGAGAUCAGACUCGAUAUUUUGUGAGCCUUGCCUUCGUGGCGGGGUGACCCGCAGCUUAUCGGGCCAGCAUCGGUUUGGGCGGUAGGAUAAUGGCGUAGGAAUGUGACUUUGCUUCGGUGAAGUGUUAUAGCCUGCGUUGAUGCUGCCUGCCUAGACCGAGGACUGCGAUUUUAUCAAGGAUGCUGGCAUAAUGAUCCCAAACCGCCCGUCUUGAA
rnacentral:rRNA from 1 species